rnacentral:rRNA from 1 species
CUGGGGAUAAUUCCGGACAGGUCACAGAUGCUGGAAUGCUCUGCGACUCAAAGCUCCGGCGCCGAAGGAUGGGUCUGCGGCCUAUCAGGGUUGUAGUGGGUGUAACGUACCUACUAGCCUACGACGGGUACGGGUUGUGAGAGCAAGAGCCCGGAGAUGGAUUCUGAGACACGAAUCCAGGCCCUACGGGGUGCAGCAGGCGCGAAAACUUUACAAUGCGGGAAACCGUGAUAAGGGAAUCUCGAGUGCCAGCAUAUAAUGUUGGCUGUCCAGAUGCCUAAAAAGCAUCUGUUAGCAAGGGCCGGGCAAGACCGGUGCCAGCCGCCGCGGUAACACCGGCGGCCCGAGUGGUAACCGUUAUUAUUGGGUCUAAAGGGUCUGUAGCCGGCCAUGUAAGUCCCUUGGGAAAUCUGGCAGCUCAACUGUCAGGCUGCUAGGGGAUACUGCUUGGCUUGGGACCGGGAGAGGUGAGAGGUACCUUGAGGGUAGGGGUGAAAUCUUGUGAUCCUCGGGGGACCACCAGUGGCGAAGGCGUCUCACCAGAACGGAUCCGACGGUAAGGGACGAAAGCUAGGGGCACGAACCGGAUUAGAUACCCGGGUAGUCCUAGCCGUAAACGAUGCUCGCUAGGUGUCAGUCACGGUGCGACCGUGAUUGGUGCCGUAGGGAAGCCGUGAAGCGAGCCACCUGGGAAGUACGGCCGCAAGGCUGAAACUUAAAGGAAUUGGCGGGGGAGCACUACAACGGGUGGAGCCUGCGGUUUAA